GCCUGAGUGGCUCAGUUGGUUGAGCGUCUGACUUCAGCUCAGGUCAUGAUCUCAUGGUUUGUGGGUUCAAGCCCCACAUCAGGCU
rnacentral:tRNA from 1 species